CAGGGACGAAGAAAGUGACGGUGCCUGACGAAUAAGCUCCGGCUAACUACGUGCCAGCAGCCGCGGUAAUACGUAGGGAGCGAGCGUUGUCCGGAUUUUCUGGGUGUAAAGGGUGCGUAGGCGGCCGAGCAAGUCAGUUGUGAAAACUAUGGGCUUAACCCAUAACGUGCAAUUGAAACUGUCCGGCUUGAGUGAAGUAGAGGUAGGCGGAAUUCCCGGUGUAGCGGUGAAAUGCGUAGAGAUCGGGAGGAACACCAGUGGCGAAGGCGGCCUACUGGGCUUUAACUGACGCUGAGGCACGAAAGCAUGGGUAGCACCCAGAAUUAGAUCCCCUGGAAGUCCACGCGAUAAACGAUGGAAACUAGGUGUAGGGAAGCUUAGCUUCUCGGUGCCGUCGCAAACGCAGUAAGUAUUCCACCUGGGGAGUACGAUCGCAAGAAUGAAACUCAAAGGAAUUGACGGGGACCCGCACAAGCGGUGGAGCAUGUGGUUUAAUUAGAAAGCAACGCGAAGAACCUUACCAAGUCUUGACAUCCUUAUGACCGGUACUUAACCGUACUUUCUCUUCGGAGCAGGAGUGACAGGUGGUGCAUGGUUGUCGUCAGCUCGUGUCGUGAGAUGUUGGGUUAAGUCCCGCAACGAGCGCAACCCUUAUCUUUAGUAGCCAGCGGUCCGGCCGGGCACUCUAGAGAGACUGCCAGGGAUAACCUGGAGGAAGGCGGGGAUGACGUCAAAUCAUCAUGCCCCUUAUGACUUGGGCUACACACGUGCUACAAUGGCGUAAACAAAGGGAAGCAAAGCUGUGAAGCCGAGCAAAUCUCAAAAAUAACGUCUCAGUUCGGACUGUAGUCUGCAACCCGACUACACGAAGCUGGAAUCGCUAGUAAUCGCAGAUCAGAAUGCUGCGGUGAAUACGUUCCCGGGCCUUGUACACACCGCCCGUCA
rnacentral:rRNA from 1 species